UACGUAGGUGGCAAGCGUUGUCCGGAUUUAUUGGGUUUAAAGGGUGCGUAGGCGGCCCUGUAAGUCAGUGGUGAAAUACUCUAGCUUAACUAGAGGGGUGCCAAUGAUACUGCAGGGCUUGAGUACAGAUGAGGUAGGCGGAAUUGACGGUGUAGCGGUGAAAUGCAUAGAUAUCGUCAAGAACACCGAUAGCGAAGGCAGCUUACUGGGCUGUAACUGACGCUGAUGCACGAAAGUGUGGGGGAUCAAACAGG
rnacentral:rRNA from 1 species